rnacentral:rRNA from 1 species
GACGAACGCUGGCGGCGUGCUUAACACAUGCAAGUCGAACGGAAAGGCCCUGCUUUUGUGGGGUGCUCGAGUUGCGAACGGGUGAGUAACACGUGAGUAACCUGCCCUUGACUUUGGGAUAACUUCAGGCAACUGGGGCUAAUACCGGAUAGGAGCUCCUGCUGCAUGGUGGGGGUUGGAAAGUUUCGGCGGUUGGGGAUGGACUCGCGGCUUAUCAGCUUGUUGGUUGGGUAGUGGCUUACCAAGGCUUUGACGGGUAGCCGGCCUGAGAGGGUGACCGGCCACAUUGGGACGGAGAUAAGGCCCAGACUCCUACGGGAGGCAGCAGUGGGGAAUAGUGCACAAGGGGCGGAAGCCAGAUGCAGCAACGCCGCGUGCGGGAUGACGGCCUUCGGGUUGUAAACCGAUUUCGCCUGUGACGAAGCGUGAGUGACGGUAAUGGGUAAAGAAGCACCGGCUAACUACGUG